UGGGGACUUCCUGACUAAUAAAUAGCUCCUGCUGUUGAAAACACCUAAAUGCAGAGAGUUUAUCACCCUCCACUCCAUUUCAAGCUUCUGAGGAAGGCUCUGAGCCUGAGACCCUAUUCGGUGACUUCUCACUGACCUUCCAUGUUUCAAAACUGAACAGUCUUCAAAAGGGUAGAAGCAGAGGGAAUACUUUCUAACUCACUGUUUGAGACCAGUUUUACCCUACUACCAAAGCCACACAAAGACGUUGUAAGGAGAGACAACUACAGACCAAUAUUUCUCAUGAAUACAGAUUUAAAAUUUCUCAACAAAAUGUUAGUCAAUCGAAUCCAACAAUGUAUAAAAAAACAUACAUCAUGAUCAAGUGGGAUUUAUCCAAGAUACACAAGGCUGGGUCAACAUUUGAAACCAAUUAAUGUAAUCCAUCACAUCAACAGACUAAAGAAGAAAAAUCAUAUGAUCAAAUCAACAGAGGCAGAAAAAGCAUUUGACAAAAUCCAACAUCCAUUUAUAAUAAUAAGCUUUCUGUAAACUUGAAAUAGAGAAGGAUAUCCUCAACCUGAUAAAGAAUUAUCUACAAAAACCUACAGCCAACAUCCUACUUAACAAUGAGAAACAUAAAGCUUCCCCACUAAGAUCAGGUAUGAGACAAGGAUGGGAAAGAAAAAAAAAACAACUAUAUUUAUAGAUGACAGUACUGGUAUGUAGAAAAUCUGAAGGAACUGACCCCUCCCCCCCAACAAAACCUCUUGAAACUAAUAUGCAGCUAUAACAAGGUUGUAAGACACAAGAGUAAUAUAUAAAAAUCAUUUGCCAACAAUGAACAAAUGGAAUUUGAAAUAAAAAAAAUACCAUUUACAUUAGCACCCCCUCAAAAUGAAAUACUUAGGUA